rnacentral:rRNA from 1 species
UACGUAGGGUGCGAGCGUUAAUCGGAAUUACUGGGCGUAAAGUGUGCGCAGGCGGCCGCGCAAGUCGAGUGUGAAAGCCCCGGGCUUAACUUGGGAAUUGCGCUCGAAACUACGUGGCUGGAGUAUGGCAGAGGAAGGUGGAAUUCCACGUGUAGCGGUGAAAUGCGUAGAGAUGUGGAGGAACACCGAUGGCGAAGGCAGUGUUCUGGGCCAGUACUGACGCUGAGGAGCGAAAGCGUGGGGAGCAAACAGG